rnacentral:lncRNA from 1 species
CCUCCAGGCCCUGCCUUCUGCCUGCACAUUCUGCCCUGAUUUCCGGAACCUGGAAGCCUAGGCAGGCAGUGGGGAACUCUGACUCGCCUGUGCUCUGGAGCUUGAUCCGAAAGCUUCCACAGUGAGGACUGCUCCGUGGGGGUAAGAGAGCACCAGGCACUGAGGCCUGGGAGUUCCACAGACCAACACCCCUGCUCCUGGCGGCUCCCACCCGGGACUUAGACCCUCAGGUCCCUAAUAUCCCGGAGGUGCUCUCAAUCAGAAAGGUCCUGCUCCGCUUCGCAGUGGAAUGGAACGGAUUUAGAAGCCUGCAGUAGGGGAGUGGGGAGUGGAGAGAGGGAGCCCAGAGUUACAGACGGCGGCGAGAGGAAGGAGGGGCGUCUUUAUUUUUUUAAGGCCCCAAAGAGUCUGAUGUUUACAAGACCAGAAAUGCCACGGCCGCGUCCUGGCAGAGAAAAGGCUGAAAUGGAGGACCGGCGCCUUCCUUAUAAGUAUGCACAUUGGCGAGAGAAGUGCUGCAACCUAAACCAGCAAUUACACCCAAGCUCGUUGGGGCCUAAGCCAGUACCGACCUGGUAGAAAAAGCAACCACGAAGCUAGAGAGAGAGCCAGAGGAGGGAAGAGAGCGCCAGACGAAGGUGAAAGCGAACCACGCAGAGAAAUGCAGGCAAGGGAGCAAGGCGGCAGUUCCCGGAACAAACGUGGCAGAGGGCAAGACGGGCACUCACAGACAGAGGUUUAUGUAUUUUUAUUUUUUAAAAUCUGAUUUGGUGUUCCAUGAGGAAAAGGGAAAAUCUAGGGAACGGGAGUACAGAGAGAAUAAUCCGGGUCCUAGCUCGCCACAUGAACGCCCAGAGAACGCUGGAAAAACCUGAGCGGGUGCCGGGGCAGCACCCGGCUCGGGUCAGCCACUGCCCCACACCGGGCCCACCAAGCCCCGCCCCUCGCGGCCACCGGGGCUUCCUUGCUCUUCUUAUCAUCUCCAUCUUUAUGAUGAGGCUUGUUAACAAGACCAGAGAGCUGGCCAAGCACCUCUAUCUCAGCCGCGCCCGCUCAGCCGAGCAGCGGUCGGUGGGGGGACUGGGAGGCGCUAAUUAAUUGAUUCCUUUGGACUGUAAAAUAUGGCGGCGUCUACACGGAACCCAUGGACUCAUAAACAAUAUAUCUGUUGGGCGUGAGUGCACUGUCUCUCAAAUAAUUUUUCCAUAGGCAAAUGUCAGAGGGUUCUGGAUUUUUAGUUGCUAAGGAAAGAUCCAAAUGGGACCAAUUUUAGGAGGCCCAAACAGAGUCCGUUCAGUGUCAGAAAAUGCUUCCCCAAAGGGGUUGGGAGUGUGUUUUGUUGGAAAAAAGCUUGGGUUAUAGGAAAGCCUUUCCCUGCUACUUGUGUAGACCCAGCCCAAUUUAAGAAUUACAAGGAAGCGAAGGGGUUGUGUAGGCCGGAAGCCUCUCUGUCCCGGCUGGAUGCAGGGGACUUGAGCUGCUCCGGAAUUUGAGAGGAACAUAGAAGCAAAGGUCCAGCCUUUGCUUCGUGCUGAUUCCUAGACUUAAGAUUCAAAAACAAAUUUUUAAAAGUGAAACCAGCCCUAGCCUUUGGAAGCUCUUGAAGGUUCAGCACCCACCCAGGAAUCCACCUGCCUGUUACACGCCUCUCCAAGACACAGUGGCACCGCUUUUCUAACUGGCAGCACAGAGCAACUCUAUAAUAUGCUUAUAUUAGGUCUAGAAGAAUGCAUCUUGAGACACAUGGGUAACCUAAUUAUAUAAUGCUUGUUCCAUACAGGAGUGAUUAUGCAGUGGGACCCUGCUGCAAACGGGACUUUGCACUCUAAAUAUAGACCCCAGCUUGGGACAAAAGUUGCAGUAGAAAAAUAGACAUAGGAGAACACUUAAAUAAGUGAUGCAUGUAGACACAGAAGGGGUAUUUAAAAGACAGAAAUAAUAGAAGUACAGAAGAACAGAAAAAAAAUCAGCAGAUGGAGAUUACCAUUCCCAAUGCCUGAACUUCCUCCUGCUAUUAAGAUUGCUAGAGAAUUGUGUCUUAAACAGUUCAUGAACCCAGAAGAAUGCAAUUUCAAUGUAUUUAGUACACACACAGUAUGUAUAUAAACACAACUCACAGAAUAUAUUUUCCAUACAUUGGGUAGGUAUGCACUUUGUGUAUAUAUAAUAAUGUAUUUUCCAUGCAGUUUUAAAAUGUAGAUAUAUUAAUAUCUGGAUGCAUUUUCUGUGCACUGGUUUUAUAUGCCUUAUGGAGUAUAUACUCACAUGUAGCUAAAUAGACUCAGGACUGCACAUUCCUUGUGUAGGUUGUGUGUGUGUGGUGGUUUUAUGCAUAAAUAAAGUUUUACAUGUGGUGAAUAUA